rnacentral:rRNA from 1 species
ACCUGAAACCGUGUGCCUACAAUCAGUCAGAGGGCUAUGCAGUUCUUCGGAGAUGAAUGCCUGAUGGCGUGCCUAUAGAAGAAUGAUCCGACGAGUUACUGUAUGUAGCGAGGUUAAGCCGGGAAUGGCGGAGCCGAAGCGAAAGCGAGUCUGAAUAGGGCGAUAGUUGCAUAUAGUAGACCCGAAACCAGGUGAGCUACCCUUGGCCAGGAUGAAGCUUUGGUAACACAAAGUGGAGGUCCGAAUGCCUCAACGUUGAAAAGUUGAGUAAUGAGCUGUGGGUAGGGGUGAAAAGCCAAUCGAACCUGGAGAUAGCUGGUUCUCCCCGAAAUAGUUUUAGGACUAGCCUCGGAAAAGAAUCUGAUGGGGGUAAAGCACUGGAUGGGCUAGGGGGCACACCAGCUUACCAACCCCAACCAAACUCUGAAUACCAUCAGAUGUUCUCCGGGAGUCAGGCACAGUGAGAUAAGUUUCUGUGUCGCGAGGGAAACAGCCCAGACCGUCGGUUAAGGUCCCAAAGUAUAUGCUGAGUGGGAAAGGAUGUGGAGGUCCUCAGACAGCCAGGAGGUUGGCUUAGAAGCAGCCAUUCCUUUAAAGAGUGCGUAAUAGCUCACUGGUCGAGGGCUUCUGCGCCGAAAAUGUAACGGGGCUAAGCAUAUCACCGAAGCCACGGGUCUAGUAGUAUUUCGAUACUAUUGGGCGGUAGGGGAGCGUUCUGCCGUAGGAAGAAGGCAUACCGCGAGGAGUGCUGGACGAAGCAGAAGUGAGAAUGUCGGAACGAGUAGCGAUAAGACGGGUGAGAAACCCGUUCGCCGUAAACCUAAGGUUUCCUGGGGAAGGUUAAUCCUCCCAGGGUUAGUCGGUCCUAAGCUGAGGCCGAGAGGCGUAGGUGAAGGGAAACAGGUUAAUAUUCCGUACCAUGGUCAGUUGUUCUAUCGAUGGAGUGACGCAGGAAGUUAUACCCGCACGGAAAGAAAUUGCCGUGCCGAACGGUGUAGGCAGUGAUCGCAGGAAAAUCCGCGGUUGCUAUCAAGCUGAGGCCGGACAGGCCACCGAAUCAAGUAGGUGGAAGGAGUAGAUACUACGCUGCCGAGAAAAGCUUCUAAGAGAGACUGAUUGUGACCGUACCGUAAACCGACACAGGUGGGUGAGGAGAAUAUCCUAAGGCGCUCGAAAGAACCCACGUUAAGGAACUCGGCAAAUUAACUCCGUAACUUCGGGAGAAGGAGUGCUCUGGUAGGGUGACUGGACUGCGUUUAAAUAUGCAUGCGAAAGGUAGCCCGAGAGAGUCGCAGAGAAUAGGCUCAGGCGACUGUUUAUCAAAAACACAGGACUCUGCUAAGGCGAAUAGCCGACGUAUAGGGUCUGACGCCUGCCCAAUGCUGGAAGGUUACGGGGAGGGGUCAGGAGGGGUAACUCUCCGAAGCUCCGAACUUAAGCCCCAGUGAAUGGCGGCCGUAACUAUAACGGUCCUAAGGUAGCGAAAUCCCUUGUCAGGUAAGUUCUGACCCGCAUGAAUGGCUUAACGGUCUGAGCACUGUCUCAACGUGGGGUUCGGCGAAACUGUGCACCGGGUGAAGACGCCCGGUAUCCGCAUCAGGACAAAAAGACCCCGUGGAGCUUUACUGUAGCUUGAUAUUGGAUUUUGGCCUGUUAUGUAGAGGAUAGGUGGGAGACUAUGAAGCUAGGGCGCCAGCCUUGGCGGAGUCGACAAUGGAAUACCACCCUUAUCAGUCUGGAAUUCUAACCUUGGCCCGUUGAUCCGGGUCGGGGACAGUGUCAGGUGGGCAGUUUGACUGGGGCGGUCGCCUCCUAAAGAGUAACGGAGGCGUUCAAAGGUUCCCUCAGCGUGAUUGGAAACCACGCGCAGAGUGUAAAGGCAAAAGGGAGCUUGACUGUGAGGCAAACAAGCCGAUCAGGGACGAAAGUCGGACUUAGUGAUCCGGUGGUACCGAAUGGAAGGGCCAUCGCUCAACGGAUAAAAGCUACCCCGGGGAUAACAGGCUUAUCUCUCCCAAGAGUUCAUAUCGACGGGGAGGUUUGGCACCUCGAUGUCGGCUCAUCGCAUCCUGGGGCUGGAGUAGGUCCCAAGGGUUGGGCUGUUCGCCCAUUAAAGCGGUACGUGAGCUGGGUUCAGAACGUCGUGAGACAGUUCGGUCUCUAUCCGAUGCGGACGUAGGAUGAUUGCGGGGCUCUGCUCUUAGUACGAGAGGACCGGAGUGGACAAACCGAUGGUGAACCAGUUGUCUUGUCAGAGGCACCGCUGGGUAGCUAAGUUUGGAUGGGAUAACCGCUGAAGGCAUCUAAGUGGGAAACCCACCUCAAGAUUAAUCAUCCCAAUCGAUCGAAAGACGAUGU